GGGGCAUAUUGCACAAUGGGCGCAAGCCUGAUGCAGCCAUGCCGCGUGGAUGAAGAAGGCCUUCGGGUUGUAAAGUACUUUCACCGGGGUGGAAGGUGUUGUGGUUAAUAACCGCCGCAAUUGACCUUACCCGCAGAAGAGGACCCGUCUACCUCCGGCCAGCAGCCGCGGUAAUACGGAGGGUGCAAGCGUUAAUCGGAAUUACUGGGCGUAAAGCGCACGCAGGCGGUCUGUCAAGUCGGAUGUGAAAUCCCCGGGCUCAACCUGGGAACUGCAUUCGAAACUGGCAGGCUAGAGUCGUGUAGAGGGGGGUAGAAUUCCAGGUGUAGCGGUGAAAUGCGUAGAGAUCUGGAGGAAUACCGGUGGCGAAGGCGGCCCCCUGGACAAAGACUGACGCUCAGGUGCGAAAGCGUGGGGAGCAAACA
rnacentral:rRNA from 1 species